UAGCUAAUAAUAUCCUAAAUUCAUUAGAAUUAUAAAAGAUAUGAAGAAUCCUAAAAAUAUGGGAAGAAAUCUGUUAAAGGAAAGUAAUCUGGUCAAAAAGCGUCUUCUUGGAAAAUGCGCUUGACCUGUUAAACAUUCGGCGUGAGGCGCACUAGCCUUUGCCUAUGAGCGGUGUCAUCUACGCUACAUUAGCAGAUUCUCGGACAGCCUAGCGUGGGGCACACCAUCUUAGCACGAGGCGCACUACACGCCUAGAACUUCUGAUGGCUCGAUACGGGCCACGCUGCCUUCAGUUCACUCCUGGGGCGAGGAGCGCCGAUCAAGUAGAAGUGAUUCUUGGCUCCUUUCCUCUGCUUGACUUGGCACAAAUACUUGUAUCAAAUUCAUGAGUUUUGACUCCAGUCCCAAGGCCUUCAAAUUUGUUUCUUUCUCACUCCAAGCUCUUUUAAUAAGUUUGAUAAGUUCUUCCUUAAUUAAAGCUCUUAGAUCGAGCUCUCGUCACAUGCCCAAUUGGCACUUACACUGGAUCCGAACCAUAGCCUUCAUUCGAGUUCAAGCUAGGCUUAUCCUCAUUAGGAUUUCUCUGAUAAGAUGGACAGUUUGGAAUGGUAGCACCGAGUACAAAAUCAAUUUGAUGUUCUAUUCCCAGAAUAGGUGGUAAACCUUAUGGAAGCUCCUCGGGAAAUACAUCAUCAUAAUCCUACAAAAGAGAUGCAACAACACUAGGCAAAGAAGAGUUAUCCUUGUUAGUAUUUAAAAAUGUCUCCUUAUACAUAAGUAUAAUCAUUGGCUAUUUAGAAAUCAAUGCUCUCCUCAUAUCGCUCUUUUUUGCAUAAAUGUUUUUUUUUCUCUUAUCAUCUUUCUUUUUCCCUCUUUUUCUUUCUCUCUUAUUUUUUUCCUCAUUUGUUUUCUUUUCUUUACUCUCUCCUUUGUACAAAAUCUUUUAGUAAAUGUAAUUGAUAUGCAUGCACUUGCUUCAGUGUCAUAGGACAAAGAGUGGCUUUUCGUUGGUUGUGCACAAAUGAAUAUUCGUUAGUAAAGCAAUCAUGCUUCACGCGUCUGUCAAUUUUCCAUGGUCUCUAUAGUAACAAAUGGCUCGCUUGCAUUGGCACCACAUCCCACAAUAUUUCAUCAAAAUAUCUCUGAAUAGUGAAAGGAACUAAUACCUGCUUAGUCACUUUUUACAUAACCAUUGUCCUUGUGCCAUUGAAAUCUAUGCAGUUGAGGAUGCUUGGUUAUUUGUAGCCCUAGUUUUUCCACCAUGGUAGUACUCGCCACAUUGGUAAAAUUCUCACCAUCAAUCACCACACAACAAAUCUUUCCAUGAACAAGACAUUUAGUGUGGAAGAGAUUUUCUCGUUGCUCCAUGCUUUCUUCCUUCACUUGUGCGCUAAGACCUCUCCUAGUAACUAACACUGCACCAUGUACCGCGACCUCCUGCUCACCUACCUCCUCCAACGGGUUCAUAGAAUAGGUGUCACUACCCUCAUACUUGGUCUCCAACUCACCAUUAUCAAGCAAUAACAUAGGCCGUUGAUUUGAACAUUGAUUUGAAAUAUGGCCCCUGCCUUGACAUUUAAAGUGUCUAAUAUCACGAUUAAGACAAAAAGAAGGUUCAUUUUUACCUUGAUUUCCACAGUUAGACGUUUCUUGUUUAUGCUCUACUUUAAGUUUAAUCAAAACCGGCUUCUCAUCUCGCUUCACAACAUUAGGAUUUCAUGAUAAACCCAAAGUAGAAAUUGAUCGUUGGCCACCUCUACUCUUGAGUUGCUUCUUUAUCUUGAUGACCAUGUGUUCCAUGUCUUCAAAUUUCACAUAAUUUUAUCAUUCUACCAAAUCCGUAAUCUCCUAAUUUAAACUUUCUUAGGCUUUUCAAAGUUACCCGUUUAGCGGAUUUUCGACCAACGACUCUCAAACCAGUUGGUAUUAGAGCGCUGGGUGUAGAGAAACCCCUAGGACAUACUUGUCCAAGUAACCGAGACCACAAAAUUG
rnacentral:lncRNA from 1 species